GACGGGUGAGUAACUACGUGGAAACAUACCCUUUCGCGUUCGGAACAACAUCAUGUGGCAACACUUGUGCUAAUAUCCGGAUAAUGCCCUCUACGUGGGAAAGAUUUAUCUGCCGAAGGAUUGGCUCCUGCUGUCUGAUUAGUCUAGUUACGUGGGGUAACGGCCCACCUAAGGCUACGAUCAGUAGCUGGUCUGAGAGGAUUAUCAGCCACAGCUGGGACUGAGACAGGGUCCAAAUUCAUAGGGAGGCAGAGUAAGGAAUCUUGGACAAUGGGCGCAAGCCUGAUCCAGCCAUGCCGCGUGAGUGAUGAAGGCCUUAGGGUUGUAAAGCUCUUUCAGCGGGGAAGAUAAUGACGGUACCCGCAGAAGAAGCCCCGGCUAACUUCGUGCCAGCAGCCGCGG
rnacentral:rRNA from 1 species